rnacentral:rRNA from 1 species
UAGGGAAUCUUCCGCAAUGGACGCAAGUCUGACGGAGCAACGCCGCGUGAGUGAAGAAGGAUUUCGGUUCGUAAAACUCUGUUGUUAGAGAAGAACAGCGCAUAGAGUAACUGUUAUGCGUGUGACGGUAUCUAACCAGAAAGCCACGGCUAACUACGUGCCAGCAGCCGCGGUAAUACGUAGGUGGCAAGCGUUGUCCGGAUUUAUUGGGCGUAAAGCGAGCGCAGGCGGUCAAUUAAGUCUGAUGUGAAAGCCCCCGGCUCAACCGGGGAGGGUCAUUGGCAACUGGUUGACUUGAGUGCAGAAGAGGAGAGUGGAAUUCCAUGUGUAGCGGUGAAAUGCGUAGAUAUAUGGAGGAACACCGGUGGCGAAAGCGGCUCUCUGGUCUGUAACUGACGCUGAGGCUCGAAAGCGUGGGGAGCGAACAGG